AGAGUUUGAUCCUGGCUCAGGAUGAACGCUAGCGACAGGCUUAACACAUGCAAGUCGAGGGGCAGCACAGGGUAGCAAUACUUGGGUGGCGACCGGCGCACGGGUGAGUAACGCGUAUGCAACUUACCUAUCAGAGGGGGAUAGCCCGGCGAAAGUCGGAUUAAUACCCCAUGAAACAGGGGUCCCGCAUGGGAAUAUUUGUUAAAGAUUCAUCGCUGAUAGAUAGGCAUGCGUUCCAUUAGGCAGUUGGCGGGGUAACGGCCCACCAAACCGACGAUGGAUAGGGGUUCUGAGAGGAAGGUCCCCCACAUUGGUACUGAGACACGGACCAAACUCCUACGGGAGGCAGCAGUGAGGAAUAUUGGUCAAUGGCCGAGAGGCUGAACCAGCCAAGUCGCGUGAAGGAAGAAGGAUCUAUGGUUUGUAAACUUCUUUUAUAGGGGAAUAAAGUGGAGGACGUGUCCUUUUUUGUAUGUACCCUAUGAAUAAGCAUCGGCUAACUCCGUGCCAGCAGCCGCGGUAAUACGGAGGAUGCGAGCGUUAUCCGGAUUUAUUGGGUUUAAAGGGUGCGUAGGCGGCGAUGCAAGUCAGCGGUAAAAGCCCGGGGCUCAACCCCGGCGAGCCGUUGAAACUGCAGUGCUAGAGAAGGCGAGAGGUACGCGGAAUGCGCAGUGUAGCGGUGAAAUGCUUAGAUAUUGCGCAGAACUCCGAUUGCGAAGGCAGCGUACUGGCGCCUGACUGACGCUGAGGCACGAAAGCGUGGGGAUCGAACAGGAUUAGAUACCCUGGUAGUCCACGCAGUAAACGAUGAAUGCCGGCUGUUCGGGUCGAUUGAGACCUGAGCGGCGAAGCGAAAGCGAUAAGCAUUCCACCUGGGGAGUACGCCGGCAACGGUGAAACUCAAAGGAAUUGACGGGGGC
rnacentral:rRNA from 1 species